rnacentral:rRNA from 1 species
GACGAACGCUGGCGGCGUGCUUAACACAUGCAAGUCGAACGGAAAGGCCCUGCUUUUGUGGGGUGCUCGAGUGACGAACGGGUGAGUAACACGUGAGUAACCUGCCCUUGACUUUGGGAUAACUUCAGGAAACUGGGGCUAAUACCGGAUAGGAGCUCCUGCUGCAUGGUGGGGGUUGGAAAGUUUCGGCGGUUGGGGAUGGACUCGCGGCUUAUCAGCUUGUUGGUGGGGUAGUGGCUUACCAAGGCUUUGACGGGUAGCCGGCCUGAGAUGGUGACCGGCCACAUUGGGACUGAGAUACGGCCCAGACUCCUACGGGAGGCAGCAGUGGGGAAUAUUGCACAAUGGGCGGAAGCCUGAUGCAGCAACGCCGCGUGCGGGAUGACGGCCUUCGGGUUGUAAACCGCUUUCGCCUGUGACGAAGCGUGAGUGACGGUAAUGGGUAAAGAAGCACCGGCUAACUACGUG